GGGGCUAUAGCAUAGUGGCAGUGCACUACUUUCGCAUAGUAGGGACGAGGGUUCGAUUCCCUCUAGCUCCACCG
rnacentral:tRNA from 1 species